AAGAUACAAGUAUCAGAUGUCUUCGAUAUUUCAAGCUAUAAUUUGUUUUCAUAGUACUUAAUAUAUCAAAAUGUUGGAAGAUCCUAAAAUACAAGAACUUACAUUGAAGUCUAUAACUUAGGCAUCAAGGUACUCACCCAAAAACAAUAAUUUUAUGUGUGUUUGACAUGGAUACAUACGUGACAGAGCAUUUGAACCACACCGUUGGGCAGCUCCAGGGCAGCGGUCUAGAGUCCCUAAUCCGUGUAAAUGCGGAGUCGACACCUCAGAAGUGCCUUUGGACAGCAGAUUGCAAACUGUAGAACUGGUAAAGGUCGAAAAAUUCUGCGACAGAGGUCGCAGAUGGAUGAACUCGAAGACCAUAGCGAAUAAUGUUGAGGCCCUCAUAGGAGCCUACUAUGUUGGCGAAGGAUUGUUUGCUGCACUACAUGUGAUGAAUUGGCUUGGUAUAGGUUCUAAAUUUGAACCCACAUAAGCCACUGAAGCCAUUACGAGGGCAUCCCUCCGAUCCUACUGCCCAAAAAAUGAUGAAAUUGCUGUCCUGGAGAAGAAGCUUGGGUACCAAUCUUCGGUGAACCUCUGAGCAAAAACUAGAGGCUUGAGUUUCUUGGCGACUCGGUGUUGGAUGUGCUAUCCGGGACAGUUGACAGACUUGCAAUCAGCUGCUGUUUGUAAUGAAAACUUUACCGGAGCUGCUGCGAGAAAAUGCCUUCACCAGCAUCUUCAACAUUGCUCCGGGUUACUUCUGAGUCAUAUCACAAGAGUAUGAGAAGUUGUGUACUGCUGAAGCUCUGAACACCACCAUCCUACUCGAAGACCCGAAAGUUCUUGGGGACAUGGUGGAAAGCAUAGCAGGGGCAAUAAACAUGGACAGCAAUCUCGACCUUAACAAAGUAUGGAGGGUGUUUAAAUAACUAUUAUCUCCGAUCGUGACCCCUUCCACUCUGCAAUUACACCCGCUGCGUGAAUCGAGCAAGUUAUGUGGUUCUAUUGGGUACUUUGUGAAAGAAACUUGUAAUAAAGAGGAUUCAAUGGAGCAUGUGGAAAUGACUUUGCAGCUGGAAGAUGGUCUUUUGGUUGGGAGCAGGUACAAUCGGAGCAGCAAAGCUGCUAAACAGCAAGAAGCUCGUCAACUUUCGAAGGAGCUCCAGGGUUGCCGUUCCUUGUCUAAAAGGAGAAAACUUGAUUCCGACCACAUAGAUGAGCUAUCUUCCGAAGUCAUGCAGAUUGAACCCUGCAGCCAACUGACUGAUGUUGUUCAUUCUUCAGAGCCAAUCAGUCGAAUCGAAUCAUCAUCUGCAGAGUCGAGAACAAGUCCUGCCCCGACCAAUUUUGAUUCCAACCAAGUCUACAGUCACAACACUGCAUCCCCAAUUUGCCUGCUAUGGCUUCGAUCAGCACGAGGAAAGGAGAAGCUCGGAUUUCUCUCUUUGAGCCGUGUAAGGUAAUGCAGUGGCCGAUGCCUACAUUCAAAAUAACAAAGCAAAAAUCGAGGUGAUUCGAAUCAACCAAACUGCACUUAAGUGUUCUCUUUUCCUAGGGGCUAACUAACUAGUGUCAUCCUAGUGCAGAACUCCGAUUGAAUUCGGAGAGGGCUCUGAAAAGAGAAUGGGUUCAACAGCUACGCAUGGGAAUUAAGUUUGCAGACACCAAACUUUGGGACUGUUGUAUGCAGAGGAGAUCCUAGAGCUGAUAAUAAGAGUUCAUAUGACUCUGCAGUAGUUGCCCCUUACAAGCUUCAACGACAGUGAAAACUUACAAUUGGGUGCUCUUGAGGGGUGAGCAUUGGCUGGGUUGGUUGGGUUGGACUCUUCAGCCCGUUGGCCAACCCAAUAGGUUUGGGUUGACAUUAUUAAAAUCCAUUUUCACCCAAGAAAAUAGGCAAACCAACCCACUCAAACCAUUUUAUGGCGGGUUGAUAGUUCUGUGGGUUGGAAUUAUUACUUUGUUUCUUAUACUUUAAGUGUAUAUGAACGACAAAUAAUCCAAAAUAGAUGUCUUAGUAGGCUUAAAUCAUGUGAAUUUUGUGUUGUAGGAUCAUUAUUUGGUACUUGAUACUUAAAUUGCAUCAUUUUGACUGAAGUAUAAAUAAACAAGUGUGCUUAAGAAUUGACCAUCUUUAGUACAUGUAUGUUUAAGAAUUGUUCGAUAUUCGGGGCGGAUCAAUUUCAAUCAGGUUAAUAAUAAUACUUCAACCUAACCAACCUGUUCAACGAGUGGUCAGAUUUGUACCCGAAAAUAAAUGUUUAAAACCCAACCCUCAGUUGUGUUGGUCGGUAAACUCACUAAAGCGCCCACCCCUAGAUAGUUAGCAAAUAAUGUACAGAA